rnacentral:rRNA from 1 species
UACAGAGGGUGCGAGCGUUAAUCGGAAUUACUGGGCGUAAAGGGCGCGUAGGUGGUUUGUUAAGAUUGAUGUGAAAUCCCUGGGCUUAACCUAGGAACUGCAUCGAUGACUGACAGGCUUGAGUACUGUAGAGGGUAGUGGAAUUUCCGGUGUAGCGGUGAAAUGCGUAGAGAUGUGGAGGAACACCGAUGGCGAAGGCAGCCCCCUGGGCUAACACUGACGCUCAUGCACGAAAGCGUGGGGAGCAAACAGG